GGUUCCAAGGGUUGGGCUGUCCGCCCAUUAAAGCGGUACGCGAGCUGGGUUCAGAACGUCGUGAGACAGUUCGGUCCCUAUCUGUUGUGGGCGUUGGAAAUUUGAGGAGAGCUGUCCCUAGUACGAGAGGACCGGGAUGGACGUACCUAUGGUGUACCAGUUGUCACGCCAGUGGCAUCGCUGGGUAGCUAAGUACGGCAUGGAUAAGCGCUGAAGGCAUCUAAGCGCGAAGCCAACUUCAAGAUUAGAUUUCCCAUUCACUUGAUGAAGUAAGAUCCCUUGAAGACUACAAGGUUGAUAGGUCAGAGAUGGAAGCAUAGUGAUAUGUGUAGUUGACUGAUACUAAUAGAUCGAGGAUUUAAUCACAC
rnacentral:rRNA from 1 species